rnacentral:lncRNA from 1 species
AAUAGUGAUCUGUCUCUGGCUGAAAGGCCGAGUUCAGGGUGUGAUGAGAUUUUGGCAUUGUUCUGCCAUAGUCAGACUUUCCAGCGUGAAGCACUAAUGGAUGCAGGAACACUCAGAGUGUUGGAGAAUUGUUCGGAUAGGAAGGUUUGGAAUUUUCACUUGUAUCUCUGCUCUAAUGCCUUUGAAACAGUAUCUAUAAAGUGUGGCAAUCCCAUGAAAGAACAUUUGAAGGCACAAGAAUGAUGCAGUCACAGUCGUUGU